rnacentral:misc_RNA from 1 species
UCCCGCUUAUCACGGGCAGUUUCCUCAGAGUUCCCGGCAUUACCCGUUGGCAACAGAGGAUGAGGGUUGCGCUCGUUGCGGGACUUAACCCAACAUCUCACGACACGAGCUGACGACAGCCAUGCAGCACCUGUGCAUCUCCCAGCCGAACUGAAGGGAAACAUUUCUGCUUCCCAAAGAGAGCAUGUCAAGGCCUGGUAAGGUUCUUCGCGUUGCCUCGAAUUAAACCACAUGUUCCACCGCUUGUGCGGGUCCCCGUCAAUUCCUUUAAGUUUCAGCCUUGCGGCCGUACUCCCCAGGCGGAGUGCUUAACGCGUUAACUGCGCCACCAGAGGGUAACCCCCUGACGGCUAGCACUCAUCGUUUAGGGCGUGGACUAC